rnacentral:rRNA from 1 species
AGCUCCAUUAGUGUGUACUAAUUUUGUUGCAGUUAAAAAGCUCGUAGUUGGAUUUCGACACGCCGUUGGAACGGCCCACCGAAACGGUUGGCGCUGGUCCUCGGUUGUCUACCUUUCGGGCGACGGCCCGUCCCUUUAUUGGAGGCGGUGUCCGUUCCGAAUCGUUUACUUUGAAAAAAUUAGAGUGUUCAAAGCAGGCGUAACCUGGCCUUGAAUACAUUAGCAUGGGAUAAUAGAACAGGACUACGGUCUUAUUUUGUUGGUUUCUAAGGCUGCAGUAAUGAUUAACAGGGACAGUUGGGGUCGCUUGUAUUGAAUCGUCAGAGGUGAAAUUCUAGGAUUGAUUCAAGACAAACAACUGCGAAAGCAUUCGACAAGGAUGUUUUCAUUA